rnacentral:misc_RNA from 1 species
AACACCUCAAAUCCCUCUACUUGUUGGAGGAAUUUGGACUUGAGCAAUCCCAACUUUUCGAAAGAGAAGGCGGGUUGCUUGAAAUGCAGGUGCAGCUAGAUUCUUUCUUCUGAGCUAUAAGCAUACUUAUUUAAUCCCGUCAAACGGAUUAUUACUUUUGCUGCAGCUAACAUAAAGGUUGAAGAGUCGCUAUGGCUGACUGAUGCAGGAUUUAACAUUUCGCGCAAGCGAUUUGUAA